UGGGGAAUUUUGCACAAUGGGGGAAACCCUGAUGCAGCGACGCCGCGUGAUUUAGAAGGCCUUCGGGUUGUAAAAAUCUUUUGUAUGGGAAGAAAAUGACAGUACCAUACGAAUAAGGACCGGCUAAUUACGUGCCAGCAGCCGCGGUAAUACGUAGGGGGCUAGCGUUGUCCGGAAUCACUGGGCGUAAAGGGUUCGCAGGCGGAAUAACAAGUCAGAUGUGAAAGGCAUGGGCUCAACCCAUGUAAGCAUUUGAAACUGUAAUUCUUGAGAAGUGGAGAGGUAAGUGGAAUUCCUAGUGUAGCGGUGAAAUGCGUAGAUAUUAGGAGGAAUACCUGUGGCGAAGGCGACUUACUGGACACAAAUCUGACGCUGAGGAACGAAAGCGUGGGUAGCAAACAGG
rnacentral:rRNA from 1 species